rnacentral:rRNA from 1 species
AUUGAACGCUGGCGGCAUGCUUUACACAUGCAAGUCGGACGGCAGCGGGGUAGUGCUUGCACUACUGCCGGCGAGUGGCGAACGGGUGAGUAAUAUAUUGGAACGUACCGAGUAAUGGGGGAUAACCAAUCGAAAGAUUGGCUAAUACCGCAUACGCUCUGAUGAGGAAAGCAGGGGACCUUCGGGCCUUGCGUUAUUCGAGCGGCCAAUAUCUGAUUAGCUAGUUGGUGGGGUAAGGGCCUACCAAGGCGACGAUCAGUAGCGGGUCUGAGAGGAUGAUACGCCACACUGGGACUGAGACACGGCCCAGACUACUACGGGAGGCAGCAGUGGGGAAUGUUGGACAAUGGGCGCAAGCAUGAUACAGCCAUGCCGCGUGUCUGAAGAAGGCCUUCGGGUUGUAAAGGACUUUUGUUAGGGAAGAAAAAGGAGCGGUUAAUACCCGUUUCUGCUGACGGUACCUAAAGAAUAAGCACCGGCUAACUACGUG